AGUAUCUCUACUUGCACAUUCAUCUUCUGAACAUCUAUCACUCCAGUGUUUAAUUGCUCGAUUGUAAUUAUUUCACCACUAUGGCCUAUUUAUUGCCUUACCUCUCUUAUCCUAACUCAUUUGCACAUGCUGUAUAUAGGUUUUUCUAUUGUGUUAUUGACUGUACAUUUGUUUAUCCCAUGUGUAACUGUUUUUUUUUGUCACGCUGCUUUGCUUUAUCUUGGCCAGGUCCCAGUUGUAAAUGAGAACUUGUUCUCAACUGGCCUACCUGGUGAAAUAAAAUUUAAAAAAUGUCUCGAGGCUUAAAAUGAACCUGUCUCCUCUUCAUCUACACUGAUUGAAGUGGAUUUAAUAAGUGAUAACAAGGGAUCAUAGCUUUCACCUGGGUUCAUCUAUUCAGUCUAUGUCAUAGAAAGAGCAGGUGUUCUUAAGUUUGCAUACUCAGUGUAUGUGGUUCUCUAACUCUCACACAAAUGUUUCAGAUGGACCACAUAUAUAUUUAGUUAUUGGAUGGUUCUCCCAUUGAUCGGGUUCCCUCCUAUAAAUAUCUGGGCUUUUGGAUUGACUAAGAUUUAAAGUACAUGGAUGAGCUAGUUAAAAAGCUAAGCUUUAAAGUGGGCUUCUGUGUGGGCUUCUUUUUUAGAACUAGAUCUGGCCUGUCCCUAAAUAGCAGGAACCAGAUUGUACAAUACAUUCCAUGCCUUUUUUUGACUAUGGGGAAACCAUUUACCAGAAUGUAAGACUACUCUUAAAUCUUUGGUAUGCUGUGGGUGAUGUAGUAGAAUAAAUAUUACACCACCACAGUUCCUUCUUUUACAAUUUUGUUUUAUGAUGAGUUCUUUUCAGUUAUGUUUGUUCUCCCUGUUGUGAAGGUUUGGAGUCCCUGGGUGGCAUGGUGCCCACCUGGUGUAGGAUAGGAGUAGCUGAGAGGACCAGACGGUUUAGAAUAAUGCUUUGCUCUGCUUUACUCUGUUUUCCAUGACCAAAGUUUUAUCCUAUAUCUUCCAUGUCAAUAAACAAUAAAGUUGUAUCUGUUAUGGGUGUCAAAAGGGGGAGACAAAAGCAUACAUCACUUGAUUUUUUUUUUCUCUAUUUUUCUUAGUUGAUUUCUUUUCUGUAAUAAAUAAUAAUAAUGUUUUAUUAAAUGCUAUUAACAUAUUACUAUGUUGGGACCACUGAAAUAAAGGAUAAUGAGUGACACCCUAGGGGGUGUCAAAAGGGGGACUUAAAUGUAACACCAUUUUCUUUUAUUCGGUUUUUAAAUGAGCUGCUGUUCUCUUUUGACAUGAGGGUUUUAAGUUCCUAGGUGGCUGGUAGCCAAUCUAGUACAUAGUGGGAUCGAAUGGAGGACAUGAAGGUAUUUUAAACUUUGUAACUGUUAUAUGAUUAUGAUGCUGAAUUUUUAUUCACACCCUUGGGAGUGUGAAAAAGGGGGAUUGUGGGAUUCUGUGUUUUACAUUAUAGCCAUUACCAUAUAUAUGAUUAAAUAUUAUCUGAUGUUGGCUGUGUGAGGUAUCUGCAUUUAUGCACUUGAGCAGCAUCAUGAGAUUAAACAACUGCUUGCUACA
ensembl:lncRNA